rnacentral:lncRNA from 1 species
GCCUUUGUCUGCAAAGAUUUAUACGUGGUGGUCUCAAUCCUUCAGCAGAGACACUGACUUUGCAUCAGCUGUACUGUUCUGAGAGCGAUCCUCCUUGGGAUCAAUAGGUAGGGACGACUAGUCAGUCGUCGAUCAAAGGAUCCGCACUCUAUGGCGUCCUACUCACCUUUGCUGUCGCAUAUGACGCAUCGAACCCUGCCAACACCGUGGAUUCCAGUGAAGCACUCCUCCAGCAGCGGUGUAGCACCAUCUACAAGGCACUGCAGACACACACAUGUCUUAAGAAGGGCCUUAACGCUUCGAACACCAGAUGGUAAUGCCAAAGAGUUCUAUCAAGUGCGUUCAUGCCUUGGCAAGCUCCUUUUCUCUCUGCAGGUGCACCAGACUUGCUGACAUCCUAGUCUCUCAGGCUUUCUUUCCGUCCAGGAUACGAUCAGCAUA